rnacentral:rRNA from 1 species
UGGCGGACGGGUGAGUAAUGUCUGGGAAACUGCCUGAUGGAGGGGGAUAACUACUGGAAACGGUAGCUAAUACCGCAUAACGUCGCAAGACCAAAGAGGGGGACCUUCGGGCCUCUUGCCAUCGGAUGUGCCCAGAUGGGAUUAGCUAGUAGGUGGGGUAAAGGCUCACCUAGGCGACGAUCCCUAGCUGGUCUGAGAGGAUGACCAGCCACACUGGAACUAAGACACGGUCCAG